AUUGAACGCUGGCGGCAGGCCUAACACAUGCAAGUCGAGCGGAUGAAGGGAGCUUGCUCCUGGAUUCAGCGGCGGACGGGUGAGUAAUGCCUAGGAAUCUGCCUGGUAGUGGGGGAUAACGUCCGGAAACGGGCGCUAAUACCGCAUACGUCCUGAGGGAGAAAGUGGGGGAUCUUCGGACCUCACGCUAUCAGAUGAGCCUAUGUCGGAUUAGCUAGUUGGUGGGGUAAAGGCCUACCAAGGCGACGAUCCGUAACUGGUCUGAGAGGAUGAUCAGUCACACUGGAACUGAGACACGGUCCAGACUCCUACGGGAGGCAGCAGUGGGGAAUAUUGGACAAUGGGCGAGAGCCUGAUCCAGCCAUGCCGCGUGUAUGAAGAAGGUCUUCGGAUUGUAAAGCUCUUUAAGUUGGGAGGAAGGGCAGUAAGUUAAUACCUUGCUGUUUUGACGUUACCAACAGAAUAAGCACCGGCUAACUUCGUG
rnacentral:rRNA from 1 species